GACGAUGCUAGACUGGUAAGGUCACCAGCCUACGAAAGAAUGUACAUGAUUGUCUGGACUAUAUAUGCGGGACAUAUAUAGAAAUAUACAUGAAAAUUACCCAAAUUUGUGUACAUUUCGUGCCCACCUGGACUUAGAUUGCAGAUUAUCAAAGGGAGGGAAGUCUGCAGCUUGCAAGUUUAUGGAUGUACCAAAGUGAUCUUCCUUGGAUUAUGUGUAGCUAACAUUGGAUGGGUGAACAACAUAAUUAAAACUUGUGAUACAUGUGAUACCAGUUUGAUAAGCAUAGAGCUGUGAUAUGUACAGAAGAAUUUGGUGCUUGAUCGUUAGAUUGAUAUGCAAAUUAUUGAUUUAAUCUUGUGAACAGUUCAUAAACUGAAAGAACAUGCAAGGCAUGUUAAAUUUCUUUAGACGUGUCAAUCAUGUUAACGUAACAAAAACUGUUAAAACCAAAUAAUGCAGAUACCAAAUUAUAAACUGAUUAAUUAUUUUUAAAUAAGCAUUAAUCAGGAAUUAAAUUGUUUAUUUUCAUUAUUUAAUUAUUUUGUGUGUUCAUGUUGGGUAUUGAAUGUUUCGUGACAAAAAAAUGUACCGGUAACUUUUUUAAAACGUGCAUCAAUUUACAACAUAAAACCAAAAACAGAACUUGAAACACAUGUAUGUAAAAGAUGUGAUGAUGCUGAGAGCAUUGGACGGUUGAGCUAAAAGAGCCGUUGUUAAGGCGACAAGUCAUCAGACACUUGGUUGUCAUGGAUAUGAAAGAUGAUUCUGAGAUGGCGGCUCAGCUAGCGUUGAGUCUAUCGUCAGCCGUUGGGGGUGGUCAUCACUCGUGGACCCAGGGCGGGCCUCUGUCCGCACCACAGGCACACACGUCCAUGUUGACAUCAUCAGCUGACACCCAGCAUCUGACAGCCCCGCCCCCCGCCCACGCCCACACCACCUCCAGCAACCUGAAACCACUGGAGGCCUUCCUAGAUAAAUCUCUGCUGGAAGCUGCAGCCAAUUAUCUGAUCAGCAAGGAAGCCUCACUGUCCUCCCUCGUCUCUCACAACUCACACAGUUCUCACGCUGCACACACUUCUCACACCUCACACAUGACACACCCGAUGAAGACAGAGAGCCCGGGCGCUCACUCCCAGAGCCCGUCAGACUCAGGCUCGGGCUCGUUGCCAUGGGCGCUGCAGCAGCAGACGUUACUGCAGCAGUAUGGGCACUUGAUGCUGGAGAAGAUGAUGAGCAAGCAGCAAACAGAGGCCGUGUCACACGUGAAUACUGCGUCUGCUACCAUCACUUCUGAUGCUGAGACCUAUCCUCAGAGCCUAGUGGCCACCUCCGCUAACCAUGUGAGUGUUCCGGUGAAGUCCGAGGUUGUAACCGAGACGGCGGACGCGCAGCGUGACGCGUACCGUAGGAUGCUUAACUACUCAAUGAGCUCCUCCCUGGCCCAGCAGUACUACCUGUCACAGUAUGGAUACAACUACAUGCAGGCUGACAAUGCUGCGGCCACUUCCACGACGUCAUCUGGGCACAGCUCCAAUGGUUCUCACAGUUCAAUGUCCGCCGCCACGUCUGACAUUGGUUCACAGUUGCCCAGCAUAGACUCCGUCCUGCUGAACCUUUCCACUAAGAAGACGAACGGUAAAGCCAUGCCUGCGUCCACGUCUGCCCACGUGGACCAUGGGGCUCACCACCAUAUGAAGCCUAUCGUGUCCCAUCACCACCACCACCACCAUCAGAUGCAGCAUUCAGUGCACUCAGUGCCUGCCUAUGGGUUACAGGCCCUUGCCAAUGCAGCUAUAGGUGUGGACUCAAAGUACGACGAUCUAGACCACAGUGACCACCGUAAAGACAGCCUUAAGGCAGACCUGGAAGAGGUCACGGACACAGACAGCAGUAACAUGUCUCCCAGUGACAGCCAUUCUGGGGCCAUCAUGUCUCCCUCCAGAACCUCCUUCAGCCAUCUGCUGGAUGUUAACCCACACAUCAGUAUCCCUGCGGCACACUCCCACCAGCUGUCCUCCCUGUACCAGACCAAGAGCUCCAUAGGGACCCUUCCCAGCAUACAGCACUUCUCAGCCAUAGGAAAGUCCUCACAGAUCUCGCCUAAACACGGCGAUCAUUCUCUGCCAUUGCAGUUGUCAAGCCAUGGCGGGUUCAAGCCAUCUGACCUGAUUGCAGCAGCCAUGAAACUGAAAGUGGAAUCUACAGAGGAAAAGGAGAUAGCAGACAGAACUAUACAGGAGAAAAUAGCAGCACACCAGCUCAACCACGCAGUACAGCAGCAGGCCCAUGAGCUGGCAGCCAGCGCUCUUGCAGCCAGUAACAUGGACACUGCAGCCAUCCUGGCCAAGCUGCAGGCCUCCAAUCUGGAGAGUGAACUACACCGACUGUACGAGUCUGAGGCCAUGCAGGCCUUACAACAUGAACCCAUGGAGCUGACAUCAGAUUUGUCCCCUGGAAAGGCGGGGUCCAGACGUAAGAGCCGGGGCCGCCCAACGUCCAUCGAGAGUCUUCGUGACCCCCUGGGGCGUCAGACGUCAACAUCAUCAAGUAUUGGGGCAAACACCACCGCUAGUAUGGAUAAUGACGAUAGAACCUUUGACUGCGAGAUCUGUGGAAAGCAGUUUAGCCAUAACGACCGACUGAGGCGGCAUCGGAAGAUUCACACGUCAGAUAAGCCGUACAAAUGUGAUAUCUGCGGGAAAGGGUUCAAGGAGAAGUGUAACCUAAAACAUCAUAGGUUCAUUCACACUGGGGAGAAACCGUACAAGUGUGAUACCUGUGGCAAGUCUUUCAACCAGCGGAGCAGUUUGAAAACACACCAGAAAGUGCAUACAGGUGAGAAACCUUUCAAAUGUGAGCUGUGUGACAAACCCUUCGCUCAGAAAUACCUGCUGAGGCAACACAUGAAGAAACACAUCGAGAUGAACAUGGGUGGUGAUCAUCCCACCUCGCAACAUCAGUAGUUACCGCAAGCAAAAGUGGGAAUGAUUGACACCACAGAAUCAGAAGUGACUGCAAACAAGGGUGGGAAUCAUUGCCACCCAAACAUUAGUAGUGAAUGCAAACAAGGGUGGGAAUUAUUGCCACCACAGCAUCAGUUGUGACUGCAAACAAGGGUGGGAAUCAUUGCCACCCCAACAUUAGUAGUGACUGCAAACAAGGGUGGGAAUCAUUGCCGCCUCAACAUAGUAGUGACAUAAAACAAGGUGGAAAUCAUUGCCACUACAACAUAAGUAGUAACUAAAAAGAAGGGUGAAAAUCAUUACCACCACAACAUCAGUAUGACUGAAAACAAGGGUGGUAAUCAUUUCCACCACAGCAUCAGUAGUUACUGCAAACAAGGAUGGUAAUCACCACACCCCUCAACACCAGCAGUGACUGCAAGCGAGGGCGUGGAUCAUUGCUACCCUUCAACAUCAGUAGUGAAAUAUAGAGUUAAGGAGCAGAAGUGGAUGUCUCCAAAAUAUCACAUCAAAUGUCAGAAUACCGGUGGGUAAAAGUUGUAAAAUUGUGGCUAGUGCUGCAGUCAACAUUAUGGCCACAUUAUUUAAUGUGGGAAAAAUAAAUAAGUAAAAUUUCUGGAGUAAUUGUUUGAAUGUUCAUAACAUUUGUAGACAUGAAGCGGUAAUAAAGAAAGGUCACUUUUGCAUUUUAUAAAUGAAAAUAUUGCUUGUGUGAUUAUUUGCUUGUGGACUUUACACUAAAUCUCAUUAUGUGAGAUUUGUAAAGUUACAUAACACACUCUCGGUGAAUAUUAGGUUAAAAUAAAUUUACACAGAACAUAUACAUGAGGUGUUAGCACACUCAAUCUGGGGUAUGUGUGAAUCAAACUCACUGGCGCCAGUUGUUUGCAAAGUGAAUUUCUGUGCAAAUGGUAGAUGACAGUUGUGGAUAAUGCAAUACCUUACAUUGGCACAAAUGUUUGCAGCAAAGGCUUAUUAGAACUAAAAUGCAGCAUUUUGAAGUUAAUUUGGAAUAAUUAAAUUGUGAAAUUAAUCUGGAGAAUAUUUAUGAAGGAGACUAUUCAUUUUUAUAUGGCCCCUUAUUUCCAAUUAUGGCCCCUUGUUUCCAUUUAUGGCCCCUUGUUUCCAAAUAUGGCCCAUUAGUUCAAAUGUUGAAUUAUUUUUCGUGAUAUUAAGUUUGAAUAUUUUUAAUCUGUUGUCGUUGAAAACCUUUCAGCACAUGGACAUUUAUGUUUACAAAGUUUGUUAUAGAUUGUUUCAUACUGUUUUUUAGCCUCCUGUUCACAUGGCAAACAUUAAGGUGUUUCUACUUUAUGGAUAGAAGUCGCAGUGUUUGUUACAAAGGACUAUUUGGUGCAUUUUCUUUUACUGCUGUUUUAAACGACAGAUUCUGAUUUCUUGCAAUACACACACACACUUUGAAAUACAUACCUUGAGCACUAAUAUUUAGUUAUAUUGCAUCCAUUGGAUUGAACAGUGCACAAAUUAAAAAUAAUGUCCAGUUUUAUGUACUUGCAUGUUGAGUAUACUUAAAUCUAACCUGUGCCCAAAGAACUGGUGAGCCAUUGUUAACACGAAUGUCCUGCUUCUGUCAUCACUCAUGAUCCAAAGUCAAAUUUAAGUUUUUAGUGAAACUUGGUUAAAAUGUUUAUCUUGACAAUAUCUAGGUCAAGUUUGAGUCAGUUUUAUGAUGUUGAUGAAACUUGGUUAGAGUGUUUAUCUUGACAAUAUCUAGGCCAAGUUUGAAUCUGGGUCAUGAGUGUACAAAAAAAGGUUACAAGGUCAAAUCUUAGAAAAACCUCAUUAUCACAUUUAUGACUGACUAUCAAUGAAACUUGUUCAGAAGAUUUAUCUUGAUAAUAUUAAGUAUAUGUUAAAAUCUGGGUCUAUUGGGCUAAAAAAUAUAUGACGCCAUGUCACAAGUCUUCAUCAAUUUAUGUAUCCGCAACUAUGUUGAGCGCUUCAGUUCCAAUAUGUACCUCUCAUAUUCAAAGGUAUUUCCCUUUUUUGUUGAAUUGCUUUGCAGUAAACUCGCCAUUUUAGUAUUAUGCAUUGUUUUUAAUUGACUUCUUUUCUAGGAAGGUGUCUAUGUAAAUGCAUUGUAAAUAUUUUGUUUAAAAAAUAGUUCACCCUUUUACUAAUGUGCUACCCUUCCAUACCAGUUAUAAUGAGUUUGUUGUUGUUAAAGUUGAGCUGUUUAUAUAUUUUGCGCCUUUGAAAAAGGACGUUAUUACCUGUUAAAGAAGAUCUGAGUUUAUAUAGUGAUGUGUUGCAUAUAUCUAAAAUGUGUUGCAUAUAUCUACCAUGUGUUGCAUAUAUCUACCAUGUGUUGCAUAUAUCUACCAUGUGUUGCAUAUAUCUACCAUGUGUUGCAUAUAUCUACCAUGUGUUGCAUAUAUCUACCAUGUGUUGUUGAACUUUGUGUAAAUGACCUUCACUCUGGGAAAAUGGGGCUUAAUGCAUCUGCAUAAAGAGUUAUCCCAGAUUAGCCUGUGCAGUCUGUACAGGAUAAUGAGGAAAGUCACUUCCUGCUGUUUUGGAAUAGUUCUUUGUAAGGAAGUCUCUUCUAAAUGAAAUAUCCAGUCUAGAUAGAAAGUGUCUGCCCUGAUAAGGCUGUGUAUACGUCACAAGCUAAUAUAGGAUUGCACUUUACAAACAUGCAUUAAGCUCAGUUUGUCCAGAACUUGGCUGAUAUAUGCCAUGUGUUGUUGUACUUUGUCUAUGUAUAUAAAGUGUAUAUUGUAGAGAUAAGGAUAGGAGAUGUUAUUUUAUGAUGUUUGUAAAGAUGUCCAGGAUUGUGGAUGAAGCUAAUGUACAGUAUCGGAUACAGACCUGCUAAGCAGAUAAGCUUGUUUCCGCAUUGCUUACACUUAACAGUUAUAUUGGAAAAGAUAGGUCUUAUUAUCAAAUAACUAAGAAGUUUUAUUAGAGAGGCUGUUUUCGGAGAAAACCGGAGGUAUUGUCAUAGCCUGCUCGUUGUCGGCCGUGCAACGUCCGCCUGCGUCGUGCUUAAACCUUUACAUUGGCUCUAAAAUCUAAGUGCUUCCACCUACAACUUUGAAACUUCAUAUGUAGAUGCACCUUGAUGAGUUCUACACGCACACCCAUUUUGGGUCACUAGGUCAAAGGUCAAGUCACUGUGACCUCUAAAAAAAAAUAAUCUGUCAAGCUUUUGCAUACGAGCGUGGCACCCGUUAUGCGGUGCUCUUGUUAAUAUAAUGAAUACAUUGACAGGAAAACAAAAGUUUCAUUGAUUCUUUCACUUGUCACCAAAGACUGAUCAGAGGAAACACGUGCUGUUUAACCCUGUGCAUGCUGGGAAAUUUGUCUUCUGCUGAAAUGUCGUCUGCUGAAUUUAUAAAAUAAGCAUUUUCUUUGAUUUUUUUCAAAGAAUACUAUCAGAAUAGAAAACAGUUUGGAUCCUGAUGAGACGCCACGUUCUGUGGCGUCUCAUCUGGAUCCAAACUGUUUGCAAAGGCCUUCAAAAUCCGGUUCCAGCGCUCAAAGGGUUAAACUGGAUUUUGGUUUAAAAGACUUUAUUUAAACGAACAACUCCAUAAGAGCCGAAAAUGUGGACCCUAAAUAGCCCCUGCAGACUGCUAAUCUGGGACAACACUUGAUGCCCAUGACUGCUAGAGUAAACAGUUAAAGUGCAUGCAAUAUUGGAUGUCUUAGUUGACUGCUAUAGUAAACAGUUAAAGUGCAUGCAAUAUUGGAUGUCUUAGUCAAUUGCUGCCUGCAGAUACUACUGAAAUAUUUUGUUUUUCUUAAGGGAAAAACACAAUUUAAUUGUUGUAAAUUAAACAAAUUUUUAUAGUUAUCCCUGUUCACUUUGCAUAUCAGACUUGUGUGUUUUGAUCAUGUUUAAAAAAUAGUGCUGUUGAAAUAGUAUUUUGUUAUCUGUUGUGUUUUUGCCUCUGCUGCUGUUUCUGAUGAUGAUAGUGAUGAUGAGGAGGAGGAGGAGGAGGAUUUCAAUUUUUACCCUUGUACAUUUUUUAGUAUUUAUUUGCUAAUCAACAUAAAUUUAUCAUUUGAAAUUAAACUUUUACAUGAAUUCUAAGCUUUUUGCAUACAAUAACUUACUGUUUGAUGUACUUACGAAAUUUAAAGAUAAAACAAAUUAUGUGAACUAUUUCAGUCUAUUUGUAAAAAAAAACUAGCAUUUAUUAAAUGGUCUUUAUAAGUUCUUGGUAAUGGGAAAAAGUUUUUAAAAACUUUAAAAAUGAUAAUAUUUAAAUACAGAUAUUGCAAAAACUGUAUCUGUUAAUUGACGUUAAUAUUUUCAUUAAUGCAUACAAAACGGUAUGAUAUAUACAUAGACAUUAAUUAAAGUAGAUGUUUUAAAUACUUGUAUAAAUUUUCUAAAAAGUAACCUCAGUUUUACUAUUGCUUACUUGUUAUCAAUGUUUAAAGCUAUUCCUCAAUGUUUGUUCUUUUAAUGAGUGUUUGUAGCAAUAUGUCCAAAACCAAGAAUUCUGUGAUCUUGAGAUUUCAAAUGUUUAAUACUGCUGUAAGUUUCUGUGUAUCGUACCAGUAGAUGCUUAUUAAAAAUAAUACAAUAUUAUUUUUCCAGUAUUGUUUAGCACAUUGUAGACUAGAAGUUUGUUUCUCAUGUUAUUGUUGAUGAUUAAAGUUGAUAGAUGCAAUUCAUUAUUAUAUAUGGGAUGCUUCAUGCGAAAAUAGGUCUUAUGCCCAAUGCGUCCAGAAUAGCUCAAGGCCAGCCUGCGCAUUCCCAAAUUCUUAUCUGAAGCUACCCUGUCUGCACUACCAUGAAACCUUGAAUAAUCCAAUAGUGGUAAAGAAAGCUACUGACCAGAAUGUGCUGAUGCGCAGGCUGAUCAGAAGCCACCCUGGCUGCAUGUGAUAUAAGGCCAAUUUUAUUUUCGCACGAUGCGGAUCAUAUUGCUUACUAUAGACUCACUUGUUGGUUGAACAGUGUGUAAAACAUUUUGCAAUAAGUUUUGUUUUUCCUGUUAUUGUUAUUUACUGUUAAAUACUGGAAAUUGUUUGUAUAUUAUCCCUAGUUUAUUGUAUUUUCAUGUUUUAAGUGACUGUUUUACAGUUUAGGGUUGGAAAAAUGGAGCAUUCACCUAACAAUUAUAGAAUAUUAUUUAAAUUGUCAAUGUUAGGCUGUUAUUGAUUUCCCGUUUUAACAAAAACAUGUGUCGGGUACAUCUUAGUAAUGAAAAUAAAAUAUUUUGCUGUUCAACAGAAGAAAUUUACAUGCUAUAAACUUAUUUUCAAACAUUCAACUUUAAACAUUACAUAUAUUGAAAUAAAAGAAUUUAGAAUAUAGAAAGUUGAAAGCCAAAGUUGGUACUGCCUCCGUUGGACUGUCAAUCUUGGAACUGUUUGUCACAAUCCUAGCCUGGACACAUGCCUCAAUGUUUGAAUUUGUUUAUGCAUUAAAUGCAGUUAUUUCAUCACAUCCAUCAUGUUAUAUUUCAUACAACACAUUUAAAUUGUUUCAAAAAACUUCUGUAAGCUUCUUAGAUUCUUCCUUUAACCCUUAAAGCGCUGGAGCUGAAUUUUAAAGGCCUUUGCAAACAGUUUGGAUCCAGAUGAGACGCCACAGAACGUGGCGUCUCAUCAGGAUCCAAACUGUUUGCUAUUCUGAUAGUAUUCUUUGAAAAAAAUCGAAGAAAAUGCUAAUUUUAGAAAUUCUGCAGAGGACAUUUUAGCAGAAGACAAAUUACCCAGCAUGCAAAGGGUUAAUGAAGUAUCAACUGAAAAUGGCAAAUCUCAAAGUUUGCCAUGCACAUUUUGUAAACAAAUGUUCCUUAUUGGUAACUACCAGUAAUACAAAAAGUAAUAAUGCUUCUAAAACAGAAGAAGUGUUUCCUUUGAGAAAAAGUAUUGUUUAUUAAUUAUUAUUUAUAAAACAAAUAAUGAUUUUGGAUUCUGCUGUGUCACCGUUAUGGUUUAACAGCAAAGCCCUAGAACAAGAAACAGUUUUUGUUUUGGUGCUGAUGUACAAUGAUAAUGAUAUGUUUAUUUUAAUUCUCUCUUUAUAAGACAAAAUUAUUUUCAUAACAACUGUAUUAGCAAAAUUUAAUUCAUCAGUUAUUUAGUUAUAUCUAAUACUUCCUUCUAUAAUCAUUGCAUAUUGAUUUCUAAUUGAGUUUAAAGUUUUUCUAUCUGGAUUUCAAAUUUUAACUUUUUGAUCAUAAAACUUUGUGAUUAUGUUACAGAAUGGAUGGAAUCUAUAUUUUAUUUGUAAUAAAUUUUACUGUUAAUGUAAUUUUAUACUUGUUUUUUUUCCAUACCAUUACAAAUAUAUUAAGUUUAGAAGCAUGUGCUAACAAUAUGUGAACGGCCUUGUAGUUCACUGUUUCAGAGGUAAAAAUGUGACUAUGUUUUAAUUUGUUUAACGUUUAGGAGAUUUCUUUAUAAUGCAUACACUUAUAUUGCAUUCAGCCAAAUACAAAACAUCAAUAGAAUCAUUCAGAAAUUGAAAAACAUAACAAUAACUAAACAAUCUUUUUCUGAAAUCAAUUAAAGGAAUAGGACAUCCAGAAUUGUGUUUGUCCUUUUUAUCUAAGGGUUUCUCUAAAAGAGUAGCAUUUCAUUCUAUAUUCUUUAAAGUAUUUAUGAAAUCAAGAUCAAUUUGUAAUAUUAGUGAAUACAUAUGUGAUUAAAUAUAUCUGUCCUCCUAAUUUGUUUGUGAACAAUAGUUGGCAUACCAGUAGGUUAAAUAUCAACUCUAUUACGCAAUACUUUGUGAUUGUAUUUUUAUGCCCCCGGUUUGGUGGCAUAUAGCAGUUGAACUGUCCGUCAGUAUGUUAGUCUGUCCGUCCGUCCGUCCAAAAAAUUUUUUUAACGUUGGCCAUAACUUUUGCAAUAUUGAAGAUAGCAACUUGAUAUUUGGCAUGCAUGUGCAUCUCGUGAAGCUGCACAUUUUGCGUGGUGAAAGUGCAAGGUUAAGGUCAUUCUUCAAGGUCAAAGGUCAAAAAAAAUAAUUUCAAAGCGGCGUUCUCAUGAAGCUGCACAUUUUGAGUGGUGAAAGUUCAAGGUCAAGGUCAUCCUUCAAGGUCAAAGGUCAAAAAAAGAGUUAAAACAAUAUUUUUAUUUCAAAGCGGCGCAAUAGGGGGCAUUGUGUUUCUGAUGAACACAUAUCUUGUUGAUUCUGAGAUGCAACUGUUCUGCACGUAUUUAUAUGUAAUCAUGUCCUUAAAUUAUAAUGAAAAAUGUAGGGCUGAGCCUGGAACUUCAGUAAAGAUACACUAAUAAAUUGUUUCAUGCUGAAUCUUCCAAUGAUAAAUUUACAAUAUGUGUGUUUCUUCUGUGUUUUCUAUAUAACCUAUAAACAUGUUUCUGGUUAGAAUCUGUUUAAAAGACAAAAUGAGCUAUGAUGCAAGUAUAUGCAUGAACAGUGGCCCUUUAGUCUAAAAUCUGUUGUGAACCCCACAUUUUUUGAAAGUUCAAUUUUCUGAUUGAAGAAGUAUUGAAAUAACAAAAAGCAGCUGGUAAGCUUAAGCAUACCAACAUGUGAUCUUUUUCCAUAAUCAGUUAAAUUGUUUCAAACAAAUGAAAAUAAAACAAUUGUUAUAAGACUUUGACAAGCAGAUAUAAGAAUAAUAAUUACUAUAAAUUGCAUGACAAUACCAACAACAAAUUGUUUUAUUUAAAAGCAUCAUGUAGGUAAACAUGUAUAUUAUAUUAAGUGAACCGUUCCCUGUGAAAAGAGGGUUUAAUUUAUGUGCCUAAACUGGAUUUUUGCUAAGAAGAGACUAUCUUUAAAUAAAAAAUUAAAGCGGAAAAUUUCCCUGAUUAGCCUGUGCAAACUGGGACGACACUUUUCGCAUGUGCAUUAAACCCCCUGUUCACAUAGCAUGGUCCAAAUAAGAUGUUAUUAAAUAAUUUUUGCAGAAACAUACACUUGUACACUUGCAAACAAACAUAUUGGCAGUAAACUUUGCAUUGUUAUAUUGUUAUUAGAAGGGAGAUAAUUUUAUCAACUUGUUUGACAUUUCCAUUUGUUAGUUAUUAUGUUAGUUAUUUCCCGUUUUAAAGAAAUGCGUGAUUUGUUUAAAAAAAAACUAUAAUUAUAUACCCAUUCUAGCGGAGUUGAAGAAAUAAAAUUGUAUAAUGA